AUGUUAUGGCUGCUAAUGGCCGCCCUCGUGACGGUUAGAACUGAGCAGGCUGACUCAGCUGUGCUAUAGUGUUACUAGAUUGGUAGAGGGUGGCAGAGCUAGAUUUCAUCCAAAAAAACCCGACAAAGUCUCUCAUGACAGCCUUGUUUACAAGAUGGAGAAAUCCGGGCUAUUAAGGAUGAUGUCCAGCUGGAUGGAAUAAUAAUUGGCUGAAUGAUCAGAACUAAAGAACGUUAAUUAAUGGAUCAAUACGGACAUGGACAGAGGUCUUUAGAGAUUUUCCAUCUAAGAGAUUUGGAGGAGUCUUAAACAAGUAGUUAUCAAGGUUUCACAACUACCUAAAUUACAAGAACUUGAACUGAUUGUUAUAUUCAAGGGCUGUUUGUACAAAUAUUCAACACUGGAAGAACAAAAGGUCAAGAAUAUCAAAGGAACUAAUGGGAAAAAUUGUAAGAAGUUCAGCGGUGCCAGAUCUUAAACUAUACUAUAAGGCAAUACUUAUCAAAACUGUCUGGUAAUGGCUAAGAAAUAGAAUCAGUGGAACUGAGCAGACAUACAAUUUACAGCA